GGCUAUGGCUGGGAGCGAUGUCUCUCCCUCUUAGUGUACACUCCAGCUAUCUCCCUCUGUCUCUCAGAUGGAGUUAUGCCUCUCACUCUUAUGAAGCGCUACCCUAGCCCUGUCUGUAGAUGCUCCCCCUCCAAGUCAGAGAGUCGGACGGAACGCGCUGCAACGCAACAACUCAUCUUUUUCUUCUGACAGCAGCCGGCACAUUUUCCAGUUGUGAGCAGGGCCUUCAUGGAUUCUCCUUACAAUGGCAAUGCGUCCUUGCAGACGUCCACAUCCAACCUCAACGCCAGUUACUCACGACCUUCAGAAGCUGAGGAUGAUGGAAAAGUGUCCAGUGACACCAUUUGGCUGUGGAUCGCCGUGCUUGCGACCAUUGGGAACAUAGUGGUGGUGGCUGUGGUGUGUGCCUGUGCCUUCUGACACAGAAGAGGAGCAAGGCAGGAACAUGACUGUCAUCAAACGUUCAGACCUUCUUUGAGUUUCUUUCUUUUUCUUGGUUAAAAUGAAAACAAACAAACAAAAAAGGUUUCAUUGGUAAAUCAACGCAGUCAUUGAUUUGUUUCUUUCUUAAAAAUAUAACUCACCAACCUUUUAAAACAGUAAUAAAAAGUAUGAAACCCAUUGAACAUUAGCUUAUUUUUAGUAACAAAGUGCAACAACUAAAAUAACACAAAAAUAGGUGGAAACUUCAAGACAAUCAAAACUAGCAUUUUAUGUUUUAGUAAUUUGUGAUAUAUAAUCCUUUCAUUUUCAAGAACAUAGAACUAUAUUCACAUCAAACUGUUAAAAUUAAGUCUGUAGAUAUUGGUUAGUUUUUGUAUAAUUUAUUUAAAUAUAAUUUAAAGGAACAAUGAUGUUGACCCAGUUUAAAAUGCAUAUCUUUUUCCCCAGAAAUGGUUCAGCCUGUAUUUGGAAGAACAUGUCAUGUCUCCAGGUCUGCCCUUUAUAGCCGAACAAUAACCAGGUCACAGAAAGGUCGCUUUCAGUUUCCACAUGAGUUGCUUAUUAACAUUUGUUAAAUGAGCCCAAAGCAAAUACCUGCAUUUUUUCUCUUUGUCACAGGUAUCUAGUUCAUAACAAAAUGUGACCUCAGAAUAAAAACAUCAUGCAUGCUGCUGGUUAUGCAAACGAGGCCACGAUUUUACAAAUAAAAGGUAUAUAAGUCCAUAAGUUGGUGACUGAAGCACACGUUUAACAGAUAUCGUGAUUAGAGCAGAUGAAACCUCAAUCUCUUUGAAAUCAGAAAACAGGGCAUCAUUCAGUUAUGAUAUUAAGUAUUGAAACAGUGUUAACAGUGUUUGGGAAUUCAAUAUUUCAAUUAAUGAAAACAUUAAACGCCAUCCUGCUUAUUUCUUACUGUUGUUUAUUCCUUUAGUUUUUAGUGUUAUUUUUUUCAGCAUCCUAAAUGCUAUUUUCUUGACUGACUGCACAAUUGGCCUGGUUGAGUCUGAAAGACUUUUUGACCUUACAAAGCAGUAAAUCCUGAUCAUAACAGCUGCAUAGCUACUGUGUCUGCCAUGUUUUUGUUUCCUUCAGUGUUGCAUGCCUUUCACUCUAUAAUGUCAUUGUUCCUGUAAAGUUCUCCUCUGAAUUUUCCCCAACUGGACUAGAGCAGUGCAUUGUUUUGGGGGAUUAGAGGGAGCGUUGCAUUGGGUUUAUAAAAAUCUGUAAUUAUCA